GAUGAACGCUGGCGGCGUGCUUAACACAUGCAAGUCGAGCGGGCAAUUUAUCUAGCACUGAUUACUUCAAAUGGAAAUCAUAAGUGUAAUCAUGAAUUUCUACCUUUAAUAAAGAAAAAAGAAAUUCAUGUACGCAAAUAGUGAUAACACAUUUUAGUGAAGUGAUGAGUGCUGGAUAAAUUGCUAGCGGCGGACGGGUGCGUAACACGUGGGUAACCUGCCCCUAUCACUGGGAUAACACACUGAAAAGUGUGCUAAUACCAGAUAAUAUAAGCUUUUGGCAUCAUUAGCUUAUCAAAGAAUUUCGGAUAGGGAUGGGCCCGCGUCUGAUUAGCUAGUUGGUGAGGUAACGGCUCACCAAGGCAACGAUCAGUAGCCGACCUGAGAGGGUGAUCGGCCACACUGGAACUGAGACACGGUCCAGACUCCUACGGGAGGCAGCAGU
rnacentral:rRNA from 1 species